UCAUAUGCCAGCAAUUCCCCUCUGCUAUGUACAUCGGACAGAACAGACUUCAAAGAGAAACUGCUGAGCUUCAGUUCAUCUGCAAAUUUGACACCAUCAGCUCAGGAUUAAACAAAGACUGUGAAUGGCUUGCCAAUUACAAAACCAGUUUCUCCUCCCUUGGUUUUCACACCUCAGCUGCUAGAAGAGGGCCUCAUCCUCCCUGAUUGAACUAACCUCAUUAUCUCUAGUUUGCCUGCAUAUAUAUAUACCUGCCCCUGGAAAUUUCCACUACAUGCAUCUGAUGAAAUGGGUAUUCACCCACGAAAGCUCAUGCUCCAAAACGUCUGUUAGUCUACAAGGUGCCACAGGAUUCUUUGCUGCUUUUACACUUUUCUUCUUUAUCAAACAUGAUCUUUUCUUAACAGUCCUUGGGUUAUAUCAGCAGGCCUUUUUUGUCUGGGAUAAUUUAGUCUGUCUCCUUUUUGCACCUCUUCCCAUUAACUUUUUGUUAUAGAUUAUUGUGACAUCUUAAGAACUUUCAUGUACUGUAGCGAGGCGGCGUGUCCUCCCUCUGACACAGAGGUAACUUCACAAGCCGCCAGGAGGGCUAUGCCACACACGCUGGAAGCAGAGGGGGAGAACAGGAAGGGGAAGUAUAAAAGGACGGCCCAGCAGCUCAGUUGACAGACAGCUUCUGAAGGAGACAGAUGCUUCUUCCCUGCUGCUGGAGUGAGACACCAAGGAGAACCGCUGCUGCCCCAGAGACCAGCCUGAGCUUCCAGAAAGCCCUGCCAUGCCUGCUGCUGCUGCUACUCUUGGCAGUUAUCCCAGGGGGACUGAGGACGACCCCUGGGCGCAGAAGACUAGCCGUAGCAGACCAAACUGAGAGGAGGCAUGGCCUCUCUCAGAAGCAGAUGCACGCCAGCUUACGUGUACUUUUUACAGCUCAGAAUUAAGGAACGCUCGCAGAUCCAAUUAUCACACCAGGUCACACUAUAAAGACUGAUAAAACUUUAAGAGACUAUCAGAGGGCCACGUGUUUUGAUGCCAUGGCUGAAGCAUGUUAUGUGGAAAGGUUAUGUCUGAAUAUGUGUAACAGAA